rnacentral:lncRNA from 13 species
ACACGCAGGGUGAUGUUCCCAGUGUAAUUAUAGACACGCGGGAUGAUGUGCCCAGUGUAAUUAUAGACACGCAGGGUGAUGUGCCCAGUGUAAUUAUAGACACGCAGGGUGAUGUUCCCAGUGUAAUUAUAGACACGCGGGAUGAUGUGCCCAGUGUAAUUAUAGACACGCAGGGUGAUGUGCCCAGUGUAAUUAUAGACACGGGGGUGAUUGUGGGGAGGAGUUGGAGGCAGUUGGGGGGAGCCGGGGGGCUCCGGAUUCCGUGGAGCUGCCCGAUGAGAAUGGAGGAACUGUAAAACAGAUUCGACACUAGAUAGGAACUGGGAGGAAGCUCAUCCACAGUCGGAGGUGGCCUUAACCAAUGUGUUGAAACAGCACGGACUAGUAGACGUGUGGAGACAGGAUCUAUACAUGUGUGAAGGUAGUGGAGGGGAAGAUUAGUGCAGCAAAGCUACAUAGGAUCUAUGUCAGUAAGGGGAGAAACAGGGUUUUGGGCUCCAAGAUCUGCCCUAGUGGCAUCUCAUACCAUCACAUGUUAAGAACUUCUGUUCUUUCCAUGACAUAGACUGACCAGCUGGAAGCUAUGAUCCCUUAUUGAUGUCACUUGUUAAAUGCACUUCAAUCAGUGUAGAUGAAGGGGAGGAGACAGGUUAAGGAAGGAUUGUUAAGCAGUACUCUGGGCCAGCUAGGAUAAGGUCUACUAUUCAGAGGUUGGAGCUGGAUAUUAGAGACAUUGACUCAGGGUCAGAGACGGAGUUUGAGGGCUAUGCGGACUAUUCAGAGGUUGGAGCUGGAUAUUAGAGACAUUGACUCAGGGUCAGAGACGGAGUUUGAGGGCUAUGUGGACGCAGCUGGGGUCUUUUUUUCAAGAUCAGGCAGGGUCCUUCAGGGUCUCUGACAUCAGAUCCAGCGGAGAUGAGGAGGAUGACUAUGGUCUUCUACGCAGACCUCUACGGUGACAGCAACACUGUCUGCUCAGGAGAUUUCAGAGGGCCCGCCUAAGCUCAGGCCUGAGCAGAGUGUUGGGCUGGAAGGGGAACUUUAGUUUCAGGAACCAGCAGUGGCUGUGCAGUAUCUCUCCCCUGGCAGUGUGCCGUGGGUCGAUGGACUGACAUCUAAGUUUUAUAACUCUGUGCUACCAGUCAGCUGCCAGUGGGAGGUGCUGUCACUGCUGCUGAACAAUGGGGACUUCUCUAUAUUGAAGAACUGAAGGCUGGUGUCGUUGCUCUGCUUGGAUUACAAAGUCUUUGGCAAAUCGUCUGAAAGGUUGUUUGGACACAAUAGUUCACAGGGUCCAGGCAUACUGUGUGCCUGGGCGGACAAUAAUGGACAACUUGUUUCUUUUGAGGGAUGUGGGAGAUCCAGGCUGUAUCACAUCCGGCCGUGAUUGGGAGUCCCAUAGGGCGGUGCACAAUUGGCUCAGCGUCGUCUGGGUUUGGCCAGAGUAGGCCGUCAUUGUAAAUAAGAAUUUGUUCUUAACUGACUUGACUAUUUAAAUAAAGAUUACAUUUUUUAAAAAAUGUGAUAGACAUCACUAGGAUGCAUGAUCAGGAUUUGGGACUCACUUCGAUAGAUCAAGAAAAGUAUUUUCGUAGUGUGUGUCAUGCCUAUCUGUUAGAAAGUGUUUGGCCUGGGUAGCGGGUUUAGAUCAUGGGUCAAG